rnacentral:rRNA from 2 species
UGGGGAAUAUUGCACAAUGGGGGAAACCCUGAUGCAGCGACGCCGCGUGGAGGAAGAAGGUCUUCGGAUUGUAAACUCCUGUUGUUGAGGAAGAUAAUGACGGUACUCAACAAGGAAGUGACGGCUAACUACGUGCCAGCAGCCGCGGUAAAACGUAGGUCACAAGCGUUGUCCGGAAUUACUGGGUGUAAAGGGAGCGCAGGCGGGAAGACAAGUUGGAAGUGAAAUCCAUGGGCUCAACCCAUGAACUGCUUUCAAAACUGUUUUUCUUGAGUAGUGCAGAGGUAGGCGGAAUUCCCGGUGUAGCGGUGGAAUGCGUAGAUAUCGGGAGGAACACCAGUGGCGAAGGCGGCCUACUGGGCACCAACUGACGCUGAGGCUCGAAAGUGUGGGUAGCAAACAGG